rnacentral:rRNA from 1 species
GCUCAUUGUCGAUCCUGCAACAAACGACCCGUGAACUCGUU